rnacentral:rRNA from 1 species
GAUGAACGCUGGCGGCGUGCCUAAUACAUGCAAGUCGAGCGAACGGACGAUAAGCUUGCUUCUCUGAUGUUAGCGGCGGACGGGUGAGUAACACGUGGAUAACCUACCUAUAAGACUGGGAUAACUUCGGGAAACCGUAGCUAAUACCAGAUAAUAAUUUCAACCGACUGGUUCAACAGUGAAAGACGGUCUUGCUGUCACUUAUAGAUGGAUCCGCGCUGCAUUAGCUAGUUGGUAAGGUAACGGCUUACCAAGGCAACGAUGCAUAGCCGACCUGAGAGGGUGAUAGGCCACACUGGAACUGAGACACGGUCCAGACUCCUACGGGAGGCAGCGGUAGGGAAUCUUCCGCAAUGGGCGGAAGCCUGGCCGAACAACGCCGCGUGAGUUAUGAAGGUCUUCGGAUCGUAAAACUCUGUUAUUUGGGUAGAACAUAUGUGUAAGUAACUGGGCACAUCUUGACGGUACCUUAUCAGAAAGCCACGGCUAACUACGUG